rnacentral:ncRNA from 2 species
CACUGUUCCGAGGGGGGCUCCUGCAUUGGAGCUGAGAUACCGCAUAUUCGCAGUCGCGAGAGCGCGGUGACCCUUUGAACCUGAUCCGGGUCAUGCCGGCGAAGGGACAGGGAUGUAUCAGGAUA